rnacentral:ncRNA from 1 species
AAUAAAUUGAAGUUUGAUUCCUGCUUAAUAGUUUUAUUAAUUUGUAAGGUUUACAUACAAAUAUUAGUGUGUUAGAAGUUUAUAUGUUUGAUUAUUAUAAAAUUAUAUACUAUGUGUAGUAUUUAUUAUUAAAUAUUGAAUUAAUUCGGAUUUAGUUAUAGGAAUAGAAAAUUGAUUAAAUAUGUGCCAGCUUUCGCGGUUAUACAUGAAAUUUAAUUAAAACUUUUUGGUGAAAGGUAAAAAUUUUGAUUGAUAUUAUUAAAUAGAGUAAAAUUGAAUGUAAGGGUAAAAUUUUAAUUUGGUGAAUAACUUUUAAUAUUAUUGUUGCAGGAUUUAUAAAAAUUAUUUUAUAAACUAGGAUUAGAUACCCUAUUAUUUUAAUUUAAUUUGUGUGCGGGGUAUUAAUGUAAUAAAAUUAAUAUGAAACCUAAAGAAUUUGACGGUGUUUUAUUCUAAUUAGAGGAACUUGUUUUGUAAUCGACAGUCCACGUUUAACCUUUCUUAAUUUUGUAGAUAUUAUGUAUACCGUCGCGUCAGAAUAUUUUUGAAGAGUGCUUAAUUUUCUUAGUAUUAUUAAGAUAUAACGUCAGAUCAAGGUGCAGGUUAUAAUUAAGUAAUGAUGAGUUACAUUAAAAUAUAUUUAUAUGAAUUAAAUUAUUAAAAUAUUUAUGAAGGUGGAUUUAAUUGUAAUGUGGAAAAUAGAUUUUAAGUGAAAUUUUGUAGCUCUAAAACAUGUACACAUCGCCCGUCGCUCUUGUUUAUAAAAUGAGAUAAGUCGUAACAUAGUAGUUGUACCGGAAGGUGUAACUAGAUUUAAC